rnacentral:lncRNA from 1 species
AUUAGGACUAAAUUCAUAACCUAAACCAAUUACCAUGAUAUUUAAGGAACUCUCAAAAUAAUAUAAGUGAGGUAUGAGAGUUUAAUAAUUUCUAUAAAAUAAAACACCGCCGUGCUCUAAAAGGUAUAAGUGAAGUACUAGAGCAACAUUGGCUAGCUCAAAAGAUAUAAGUGAAGUACAUAGAGUAUUCUAAUAAAUUCAUGAUUCAGCGUGUCUCUCUCAAAAUAUGUGUGCAUCAAGGAUAUUUUUGGCAAACUAAAAAGUAAAGACUCAUAUCAUACAAGACACUCCAAGCAAAACACAUAUUAUGUGGUGAAUAAAAAUAUAGCCUCCAAUAAAUUUACCGAUGGAUUGGAGACGAAAGAGGCGAUCCCUUCCGGGGCAUCCCAAGAUUAGGAUCUUUGGUAUCCUUCAAUAUGGAUUGGGGUUCCUUGGUAACCCCCAAGUUUAGGAUCUUGCCACUACUUAUUCUAUAGUCCAUCAAAUAUUUACCCAAAACUUGAAAACUUCACAAGAGAAAACUCAA